rnacentral:rRNA from 1 species
CAGCCGCCACGGUAAUACGAAGGGUGCAAGCGUUAAUCGGAAUUACUGGGCGUAAAGCGUGCGUAGGCGGUUUGUUAAGUCUGCUGUGAAAUCCCCGGGCUCAACCUGGGAAUGGCAAUGGAUACUGGCGAGCUAGAGUGUGUCAGAGGAUGGUGGAAUUCCCGGUGUAGCGGUGAAAUGCGUAGAGAUCGGGAGGAACAUCAGUGGCGAAGGCGGCCAUCCGGGACAACACUGACGCUGAGGCACGAAAGCGUGGGGAGCAAACAGGAUUAGAUACCCCGGUAGUCCCUGUCUCUUAUAC